UCAUUCGGAUUCGCCAUCAUACGUCCAACCGUGCAUUUUAUAUGCAUAUAUAUGCAUCACGAGCCACGCUUGGGCUGUAUGAUGGCGAUACCGAUUGG
rnacentral:pre_miRNA from 1 species